CGUUUAGGGGUAAACCUGAGAAACCCGAAAGGUCGAAGGGAGAAAUUCAUUCGCGGCUCGUAGUAGGCGGCGUGCGAUCGCGUGACACGUGACGUUUCGGCGUUGCGCGCGCCUUUCGUACGUCGAUCCGGCGACGAACGCGUGCACUUUUCUCCUUGUAGGACGUCGCGAUCCGUUGGGCGUCGGCUUAAGGCUCGAGGUGGAGACCGUAGACUGCGGUUCGCGCCGUUUUCGUUUACGGACCCUCGUGUUCGCGGUCGACUCGCUCGACGGUAUACCGAAUGGUUUAAGGCCGCUACUCGUUAGCGUUCGGCUCGUCGCAAGCGCGUCAGAUGCACGUCGGUAAUCGGACCCGGUGCCGUUUCCGACCUCUGAUGACUGUUGGCGACGAGGUUCUCGAACAGACCUAGACCGAUCGGCGACGCUAUAGCUUUGGGUACUUUCAGGACCCGUCUUGAAACACGGACCAAGGAGUCUAGCAUGUGCGCGAGUCAUUGGGAAUCACUAAACCUAAAGGCGUAAUGAAAGUGAAAGUUCGUCUCGCACGAACUCAGGGAAGAUGGGCGGUUUACCCUUAAAAGUGGCCGCUCCGCAUUCCCGGGGCGUCUCGUUCUCAUCGCGAGAAGAGGCGCACCAAGAGCGUACACGCUGGGACCCGAAAGAUGGUGAACUAUGCCUGGUCAGGACGAAGUCAGGGGAAACCCUGAUGGAGGUCCGUAGCGAUUCUGACGUGCAAAUCGAUCGUCGGAACUGGGUAUAGGGGCGAAAGACUAAUCGAACCAUC
rnacentral:rRNA from 1 species